UACGGGGGGGGCUAGCGUUGUUCGGAAUUACUGGGCGUAAAGGGCGCGUAGGCGGUCUGCUAAGUUGGAUGUGAAAACUCUGGGCUUAACCCAGAGCCUGCAUUCAAUACUGACAGGCUAGAGUUCUGGAGGGGAUAGCGGAAUUCCUGGUGUAGCGGUGAAAUGCGCAGAUAUCGGGAGGAACACCCGUAGCGAAGGCGGCACUCUGGGCCGGUACUGACGCUGAGGAGCGAAAGCGUGGGGAGCAAACAGG
rnacentral:rRNA from 1 species